rnacentral:lncRNA from 1 species
GAUCCUCCUGGCUCAGCCUCCCCAGUUGGUGGGAUUAUAGGUUGUGCCACCAUACUUUUUUUUUUUUUUAAUGUAAAAUUUGACAUUUUCCAAAUGUUCUACGAUAACAUUAUGUUUGGAAAAACCAUGUUAAGAGCUGUGGCUCAGUGGUAGCACACUUGCCUAGCAUGUGUGAGGCACUGGGUUCUAUUCGUAAAAUAAAGGACUAUCAACAACUAAAAAUAAAUAAAUAAAUAAACAAACAAAUACAUAAAUGAAUAAAAGAAAAACCAUGUUAAUUUAUAAAUACGGGUUCUCAAGCCUUCAACUUGGUUCCAGGCUAGCAGUUCUUUCUUCUAGUGAUUUUCAUAGGCCAAGACAGCCUAUCAGAGUUCCUGGGGUUCCUGGGAUGAGUGGGCUGGUGAGGAGGGCUCCCUAGGACUUCAUAUGCCAGUUGGCCCUCAGGGACUUCUUCCCUGAGAUUUUAGGGCUUGUGGGCAGGCUUCUCCCCAGCCAGGUCCUUCUGCAGCCACAUCCAGCUUGGCAUUCCUGAGGCUGGCCUGGGGCUUCACUCCCUGGUUCAGGCUAGGGGAGCUAGCAGACCCUACCUCAAGUCUUGGCUCACUCUCCUGCCCCUUGAAGCAGGGUCACAUCUUGGCCAAUCUUAGAUAAACAGCCGGAAAAACUCAACCUAUCAUUUUUCUUUCUGAUCAGAAGUUAAUGUUUGGAAAAUAAAUGACUUUAAAAAUAAAUACUUCACCCACAAUCCCCACUAGGUCUGUUGGGGAUGGCUGGAGAGGCAGCCUUGCUCCACCAGCCUUCAGUCCCACAAGGUCCUGCAACUGUGCCUCACCCCCCAACCUAUUCCCAAGCUGCUGAGGAGACCCUGGCCAAGUCCCUGCUGUCCUGGCGUUGUCAGCAGGGGUUCUGGGUGCUUACCCAGAGUGGGCCACCAUGCCGCUGGUAAUGCUUGCUCAGUGUGUAGCUCCUGCGGAAUGCCUCCGUGAAGGGCUUUCUCUUGCGUAUGGAUCUUCUGGUGUGGGGUAAGGUUGGACUUGCAGCCGAAGGCAUUGCCACACUGCCCACGUGAAGGGCCGCUCGCUGGUGUGCACCGCAGGUGCAGGAUGAGUAGUGAGUGGUGUCGGUAGGUGUAGGAGACCAACCUCACACAUGACUGAGUCAUUCCCCGGCUGGGUGCUGAGGCGCUCAGUCACAGAAAUGUAGCAGAGCUUUCCUCACCCUUCUUGGAUUCGAGGGUUGGUGUCUGGUGCAUGGGUGUGUCUUGCUACAGCCCCAUGGGUGAAGCUAUGCUCACCGUCCCUUUGUAAUAUAACCCCUUGCCCUGUUUAGGGUAGAAUCUUCCAUGGAAGUGUCUUGUGUGUGUCCCCUUCUCUUACUGUGCCCUUGGGUGUGGCCUACCGAGGUGUCAGUCAACCUGCUGACAGUGGACAUCAUGAAGAUAGACUCAGCCCCCUGAAACCUGACCCCUUGCCUCAUUUAAAUAACUUCUCAAUAAAAGGGGUCAGUGUGUGCUAUGGCUCUCUCUCUUCCUGCGUACACUUAAGGUCAGAGGAGCCGUCACAGCGACCCCAAAGAAAAAGGUAUUGUGUCUCUUGUGUGGUUAUUUUGUGCAGCCAAGUUAGCCCAGCUCAACUGGAGUGA